rnacentral:lncRNA from 1 species
GACUGACUAUGUUCAGAUGAACUAUUACUGACUAUGUUAUCGUUUUAUAUGAUAAGUUUUCUUGAAUCUUGAUUAGGUUUUAAGAAUGUUUUUGCAGGAAUGUUCAAGGCUUCAACACUCCAUGUCUAAGUCAUAGAGUUUGUAUUGAGGUUGUGAGAAAAAUGUAAUUUUGCUUUUAUUGGAUCGAUCAUGCAUGAAAUUAUCGUUUGGUGAUUGCGAUGAUCUUCUUUUUAUUGUUUCUGAGUUGUGUUUGAGCGUUGUAUUAUGUUUUGUCACGAAAUCGCCAAAGGAGGAUAUUGUUAAGGAUUUUCUAGGUUGGCGGAUUUCGUGAAGUCGAAAGGAGUCUUGAAGAGUUGAUCGUGGAAGUUUGAAGAGAAGAUUCACUUUGAAGAAUCAAA